CUUGAAUAUAGGCAAUGAAGAGACACCUUUGCAAGGUUCUUUACCUGGGAGUUCUAACAGCCAAAGAUGUUAGAAAUCUUCUGAAUAUAUCUCCAGUGCAAAGAUCUUCCUCUAGAGUGAAUCUACACCAACCUUGAGGGUGAUUUGAAUGUGCCUCUGGCUCCUGGUGCCCGGAUCAAGCAGACAUGGAAGGGGAUCUGAUUUACACAAGGCCCUGAGGGCUCCCCAGCCUCAGGACAUACCAACUCCUUGCACAAAAACAGAGAAAAAAGAAAUCGUCCUGGGGAGCUGCUCUAAGUUUAACCUGAGGAGGUUGAAUCCAGAAGACGCUUUGGUCCCUCUAAUCGACCCAACAUGGCAGUCAACCUAAACCAAGGAAGGCCUGAACAUUGGAGACCGUGGCAUAAUGUUAGCUGUGACAUGAAAAUAAGCAAGAGAGGAACACUGUCAUUGCACUUCUCCUAAAGGGUUCUUCAUCUUGGCUCAAGGCUUACUGGGAGGCAAAGGGGACUUGCAAGGGUGGUGGUGGAGGAGUCUGUAAGCACAGUGAUACAGGAAUGUAAACUGAGUAGUGAAGGGUGGACAACCUCAAGGAAGUCCUGUCCUUUAGGAGUGAGGAGACAGAAGGGUAAAUCUGGAUGGAAAGAGGGAGGAGCUGGGAGUACUGAAGAAAUGAGAGAAGGUAGAAAGAGUGAGGGAGGCUGAGAGAAUGAGUCCCAGCAUGGUCAAAAGGUCUGAUGAUGUCCAUCCUGAAUCAUAGCAGUGAGGAAGGAAAGGAGAAGUAUUCUGAGGGACAGAAGCAGUAUUCUCUGCUUCCCUGUCAUUCAUCACCAGAAGGUCCUGGGCACAUCUCCAAGGCUUAGGCACUUGAUCCAUUCUAGACAAGCAAGAUCACUGUGGCACGAAGAGUCCCACAGCAAGGUGAGCUUUUCAGAGAAAUGAAGAGAGGGCAGGCAGCCAGUGAAGAGAGAGAAGAGACCCUUGCCUCACAGCCAAUCUGAUAUCUCCAAGCUUCCUAACACGCACACCCCUCCAGAAAUCAGAACUAAGUUGUGAUGCCUACACUGACAAGAAUACAUUACUUCGGCACUCAUUGUCCAGCUGACAAAACUCAUUUUUAACCAUGCCAUUGAGCUGUCUGUGUUAUGAUGCCAUUAUACAUCUGAUGGAACUCCAGAACUCAGCUAUGACUGAUUGUCCACUACUGCAGCGUAACCAUUUGUGGAACCCUGCAGAAGGAAACUUCACCUUAACUCUUCAAGGAAUAAGCAGACAAUCUUGGCCAGUGACUUCUAAAGUUCGAUCCAAUAUUCAGAUAUCCUAGGCUCAUGAAGGAGUGGUACGGAGAGAGAGAAACCCUGCCUAAUAGUUUUUACUUGCUAACUAUUCUAUGAUUCUAUGACCUGCUUCCUUAUGCAAUGGCAUGACUCUCACAGGGCUGAAACCUUUCCUCUGAGAGUUAUUCAUCCCUAAAGCUGCACGUUCAUGUAAUUUUGCCCAAGAUGAAACGAAGGGAAAAAACUCAAAGCCAAAAAGAUUCAUUUCAGUGUUUUCAAACUGACAUUUUCAUUUCAGCAUAGGAAAUUUCUCUCAAAAGAAAUCAGUGAUGCCUAAUUUGGUGGCAAAGGUAGUAGUUCAUGAGAUGGGUUUUGGCUUUGUUUGAGGCAGGCGUUCCAUUCCUUGGAGGAGCAUUUCAGUCACUGGACUGCUAUAUAGUUCGGAGUUAGGAUCUCUUCAACUAUAUCUGUUCUAUCACAUCCAGGAAAACCUCCUACUUUUACAUGGAGGUGAAUAUCCUGGUUACAUCUCAGAACUGAACUAUCUCAAGACUUAGAUUCCCGACAUCUCCUCCCCUUCAAAACGCACUAGCACAUAUCCCUUGAUCUCUAUGCAAAACUGGAGGCAUUCUCCAAAUGAGACUCCUAGCAUUCAUUUUCCUUGCAGUUUGAGCAAGGCUUCCUGUGCUGUGUGGAGGUAAAGUAGGAACAGCUGAGUGAGACUUUAUUGCAAUAAAAGGGUGAGAAAAAGUCUGUGCAAAUCAAAAGAGAGAGUGAUGGCAGAUAGCAGCUGGAAGUGAUGUGCAAGGGUGAGGGGGAAGCAGGGGAGCAGGGAAAGAGGGAAAGAGCCCUUAGCUAGAAGUAGGCAGGAGCACACCUUGCAAAUUAAGAACAACCAAAUGUACUGUGGCACGCAUCA